rnacentral:rRNA from 1 species
AUUGAACGCUGGCGGCAUGCCUUACACAUGCAAGUCGAACGGUAACAGGUCUUCGGAUGCUGACGAGUGGCGAACGGGUGAGUAAUACAUCGGAACGUGCCUAGUAGUGGGGGAUAACUACUCGAAAGAGUGGCUAAUACCGCAUGAGAUCUACGGAUGAAAGCAGGGGAUCGCAAGACCUUGUGCUACUAAAACGGCCGAUGCCAGAUUAGGUAGUUGGUGGGAUAAAAGCUUACCAAGCCGACGAUCUGUAGCUGGUCUGAGAGGACGAUCAGCCACACUGGGACUGAGACACGGCCCAGACUCCUACGGGAGGCAGCAGUGGGGAAUUUUGGACAAUGGGCGCAAGCCUGAUCCAGCAAUGCCGCGUGCAGGAUGAAGGCCUUCGGGUUGUAAACUGCUCUUGUACGGAACGAAAAGCCCUGGGUUAAUACCCUGGGGUCAUGACGGUACCGUAAGAAUAAGCACCGGCUAACUACGUGCCAGCCGCCGCCGUAAAAC